UCUCCACUUUCUCUAAUGUUAUGAUCACUAACAUGAAUCUUGUUUAAUGCCAUGUCAUACCACACAGCAGAAAAAGAUGGAGACCACAAAAUUCUGCCUAACUCACAGCUUCAGAAUGCUGUUUUGAACCUUACUCCACUGGGUCAGAGGAAUGGGGAGGAAGCAACGACAGCCACACUACAUCCUGUCAUGGCACAAGGUUGCAGGGACUUAUGAAGCCAUAAAAGAUCCUCGUCAGUUUCUCCAGCUCCCAUUGGUGGUCAAAGAUGAGGCUGUCACCACGAGGCCUCCACCCAUGUAGAUUCUCUUCACCACGCACAUAUGUUGAACUUGUGUCUAGAACCCGACGCUGGCGACGCUGAACUCCUGUAUUCAGGGAAUAAAGUGCUCCAUUAAUGUU